GGGGGCUUAGGUACCUUCACAAGGUUAUCAGGAAUGCAGGCCCCUCAUCCAGCACCUGUGCCUCAUCGUUCAAGAUGGCUGCAAAGCUCCAGCCAUCGUGCUGUCAUUCCCAUCAGCAGGAAGAAGAAAGAGGUGAAGACAAAUCAUCCGUGACCACCCAGACGAGGUGAGAAGCUCCAUGAAAUCUGGCCUCGUGUCUGUCUUCUUUGUUGUUCUAGUCCUGCGGUCCACCGCAGUGCUUGGCAUGUAGUAGGUGCUCAAUAAGUAGUUACUGAUGGAAGGAACACUCAAGAUUGUACUUUAAACAUGCUCUUAAUAUUGGGAUGAGUCAGAGUUGGCCUGGCCCAAAUCUGGAAUCUUCUGAAUUGGAGUCUGUGACGAUGAGUGCUGCUAAGGGCUGUACAUACAUGACCUUGCUUAAUCCUCAGCAGAACGCUGAGAGGAAGAUUCUGCCAUUUUCUUCAACUAGCA
rnacentral:lncRNA from 1 species